GCCAACGUCCAUACCACGUUGAAUACACCGGUUCUCGUCUGAUCACCGAAGUUAAGCAACGUCGGGCGCGGUCAGUACUUGGAUGGGUGACCGCCUGGGAACACCGCGUGAUGUUGGCU
rnacentral:rRNA from 1 species